CUUCUCCAAAGCCAGUUUUCAACCCUGCUUGUAAAACACAACAAGUCCAACAUUGUUCUGAUUUCUCACAGGAGGACUGCGUGUAUCUACUUUGAAGUCUCGUUAUUUCAGUCAACACCCGUGCAUGGCUUCUGCUCACUGGGGAAGUUGCUGCAGGGGUAGGAGGAGACCCGGUGUCAGCCCUGGCCAGAACUGGCUCGCUUCUCUCUGCUUGUUGACAGUAACCAGGCAACAGGUUCAGGAAAGACCUGAAGAAUCCGAGCUCCAUGAUCUUGAAGGACUCGGGCCCACCCCCAGGUUUCCAGGACAUCUCGAGAGGAACAGAAACAUGGGGGCACAGCAUGGGGGUGUGCAUACAAAGCAGAGGCACAGCUUACAGAGAAGCAGAGGUUGGGACUUUUCCUUGGAUGGCAAGAUGAAAUUCAGCCGCCAAGAGGCGCACAGUGCGCACCGUGCUGUCUGCAGCGACAUCUUCUGGCCACUUUUGGAAUAACUUUCCUUUGAGGAAUUGUCUUUAAAGAACGGUUUAGGCAAAAGCCAGGUGGAGGAUUUGUACUGUGGUUGUAUCUAGGUGAGAGGAGAGUUCAGCAUUUAUCACAAACCCAAGAAAGCCCCCAUUAUGCCUGGCAGAACCCCCCCUGAAGCCUGUAGCCAGUCAGCUCAGCCCAUUGAAUAAUCAAACAUCAUUGGUAUCUAUGUCCACUCCUCUGCAGGACAGGGUUGUCGAUAUGUAGCCUAGGCUGCCCUCGAAUGUAGGAUCCUCUUGCCACAGCCUCCUGAGUGCCGGCAUUACAUCGCUGGUCAGUCAGCACUUGGGUGACAGGAACAGGCUACUGUGCUUAUCUGUGUGUGUGUGUGUGUUUUGAAAUUUGUUGUUGGGCUGGUGAGAUGGCUCAGUAGUUGAGAGGGCCGACUGCUCUUCCAAAGGUCCUGAGUUCAAAUCCCAGCAACCACAUGGUGGCUCACAAUCAUCCAUAACAAAAAUCUGAUGCCCUCUUCUGGGGCGUCUGAAGACAGCUACAGUGUACACACAUAUAAUAAACAAACAAACAAACAAACA
rnacentral:lncRNA from 1 species